UUGUGACUGCAUUAUUAGCAGAGGUAGUGUGGACUGGAUCACAUGAAGAAACUAAACUACCCUUUUCAGAGUCAGAAAGAGCUUCCCCAAGUUCCUCUCCCAUGAUCUCUCACUGCAAAUUAAAAACCAAGAAAAAUAAAAGAAACCCCAAAAGGAUUGUUCAUUAAUACGUUAAUGAAGUCAUCAGUUAAACAUUAAAACCCUAAACCACAUGUUUCAAAAAUAAA
rnacentral:misc_RNA from 1 species